UUUCCAAAGUAUUUUAUUCAGGCCUAAGAGGGAGAAAAUGUCUAUUUGUUUUCCGAGAUUGGUGUUAGUACUGGGAGAACUUUUACCCAUCGCUUCCAUUCUGCCACCACUCUCUUUCUCUCUUCUCCCCCCUCUGUUAACAUUAUUCUUUCUCUGAUUAUCUAAUGGUUCCGGCUUAAUAUUGCGUUAGGCCCAUUGGGACAGAUGUAAAUUUUUUUGUGACUAGUGGUGCUAUUUUUUCACCCUGCCACGUCACACUAUUUUUAUGUCAUGGUUUAUUUACUUUGCAAUUUCAGGUUCAAGCUCUUGUUGGAUUUGAGAAGACUAUUAAACACCUUGAUGAACAUUUGGUAAACAUCAGUUCAAAGGGUAUUACAAAGCCCAAGGAAGUAUGGAAGUUUAAAGGAGAAGGAAUGUCACUGUAUUUGAGCAACAAGAAAGGUGAUCUCUAUGUCACCCUUGAAGUUUUGUUUCCAACUUCAUUAACAGAAGAACAGAAGAUCAAAAUCAAAGAAAUUCUUAGUUAGAUUGUCGUAAAAUUUUGUUUGAUCAAGAAUGUUCUAAUGUACCCACUGUAACAUGAAUACAUGGUGAACCUCUUACCUUAGCUCCCGCGCCUUAUUUUUCUUU